GAUGAACGCUGGCGGCGUGCCUAAUACAUGCAAGUCGAGCGAACGGACGAGAAGCUUGCUUCUCUGAUGUUAGCGGCGGACGGGUGAGUAACACGUGGAUAACCUACCUAUAAGACUGGGAUAACUUCGGGAAACCGUAGCUAAUACCGGAUAAUAUUUUGAACCGCAUGGUUCAAAAGUGAAAGACGGUCUUGCUGUCACUUAUAGAUGGAUCCGCGCUGCAUUAGCUAGUUGGUAAGGUAACGGCUUACCAAGGCAACGAUGCAUAGCCGACCUGAGAGGUGGUCGGCCACACCGGGAACUGGGACCGGGUCCGCCCCCCUAGGGAGGCAAACAGUAGGAAUUUUCCGGAAAGGGACAAAACACUAAGGAACAAACCCGGGGUAGGUAAGAAGGGUUUUGGGUUGGAAAACCUCUUUUAUGAGGAAAAACCAAAUGUGAAAGAAAGUGGGCAAAUUGUGACGGAACAAAAAAAGAAACCCACGGCAAACAAAG
rnacentral:rRNA from 1 species